rnacentral:piRNA from 1 species
UGGGGCAUUCANAUUACUUUAUAAUCCUCGU